GAGCUUCUGGUCCAUCCGAUGACGCCUGCGGGAUCCGAGUACACGACCCGCAUCCGUCAAAAGACCACCCGUGGUAAGAACACUGCAAGUGCCCAUUCUCAUCAAUCCUCCCUUCCUGAUAAAGGAGCAAGACGAUGAGGGCAUUUAUCAUCCAAAGCAACCCACUGGUCAUUAACUUUAUCAAACCAUAUAACAAGGUCCCGGUUCAGGAGAGUAAAAGGGGUGGGUCGGGUCGGGUCAAGGUCUUCAAUUAACGAAACUGGGUACCAGUGAUCUUUCCACGAGAAUUUAGAUGAAGACUUCUCAUCAGCUUCUUCGGUUUCAACAUCCAUUGAAGAAGGAUCUGUGGUGGAGGGU
rnacentral:lncRNA from 1 species